AACAAAUCGACCGCAGUACGUACGAUUAAGUCCCGCAAUUAUUCUGUCGUUCUCUUUUGCCAUAUACAUGCACACACACACACACACACACACACACAAGCGCACACACACACACACACACACACACACACUCACAAGCACACACACAAGCACACACACAAGCACACACACACACACACACACACACAUAUAUAUAUAUACGAUGGGAUUCCACACAGUUUCCGUGCACCAAGUUUAUUCACAAGGGAUUAGUCGGCCUGGAGCCGCACAAGAAAACACUUGCCCAACAUGCCAUGCAGUGGGACUGAACUCGAAACCUUUUUAACCACACUGCCAUUUCCCCUUCCUAGUAUUCAUUCAUUUUGUAAAGUAGUCAGCUGACAGAAUCGUUAGCAAGCUGGACAAAAUGUUUUGCGGCAUUUCGUCCGUCUUUAUUUUCUGAGUUCAAAUUCCGACUAUGCCUUUCAUUCUUUCCGGAUCGAUAAAAUAAGUACCAGUUGAUCACUGCGGUCGACAUAAUCGAUUUAUCCCACUUCCCCCAAAUUUCAGGCCUUGUGCCUAGAAUAGAAAUGAUUAAUACAUUUCGUAGGAUAUCCUGUUUGAUUAAACCACGAACAACCGAAAUGUAUGGGUUGCACUUGUAAGCCUGCUGACACAUUAAAAACGUUGAUUGUUAAAAUAGGUUGAGAAAUAAAUAAUGAUAGAAAUGAAAUCGAUUAAGCGGUUGGAGGCAUUAUCGAAUGAAUGGACGUGAAAUAACAAGACAGGUUUUAAGGAGUCUUAUUUGAUUUGAUGUCGUCUGCUAAACACACUAAUGUGACCCCAGUGAUAAAUGAGAAAUAUUCACAACGAACACAUGUCCAUUAGUUCUAGUUCAAAAGCUGCAAAGUAAGCGUGAGAAUAAAUCCCGGCAGUUGUUGACAUAGAGUGUUGUAUCGGUGACAGCUUCCGUAAUGGCGAUUGUGUAGCUUCUUUGUUGGUCCUCCCCGCAUUCAAUGUUCAGCUUUCUUUUCUGUUCAUUCGUUAACUGAUGAAUAAUUUGCUUCACAUAAAUUUUUCUAUCGGGUUUUUCAAUGACAGGAUACCCAUUUUUCAACCUUCAGAAAUAAUAAUAAUAAUAAUAAUAAUAAUAAUAAUAAUAAUAAUAAUAAUAAAGAACUGGAGUAAAAUACAUAAGUCUUCUUUGAUCAUUAAAACUUUCUUGGCAAAUAUAAGGAAUUCAAUAAAAAAAAUACAAAUAGGAAGAUAACCUAAAAAUAUUAAAUUCAACAUCAUCUCACUGCAAACAUAUUAUAGGUAUUUCGUAGGGGUAAAAAAUGCAUGAUCUAUUUUAUAGUAAGCUUUGAGCAGGGCAUUCUUGAAUGAAACAUUAUUCAUCAGAACUGAACUGUAGCCAGUAGAAAACUCAUCAGUUUAUGCUGCUGUCAGAUGGUAUCUGUACCAAUACUAAGUGGUUAAAUGGUACAGAUAUCUGGUGUAAGAGGAUCUUUAUGUGAUGAAAUGACCUUGGUAGAUCUAUGAAAAGGGACAAUUAUUCCGAAACAGAUUAGUAAGAGAUUGUUGAAUUUUUCUCAAGUUUACUUAGAUCAUAUUGAAUAUAUCAUCUCAAUCUCUACAACUAAAGAACUUUCUAAUAAUUACCUGUAGAGCUAUCUACAUUAUUUGUGUUUCAGGUAUUAUGAAUUACAAUAUUUUCGUUGUACAUGGAUGGAAGCACUCCGUCGGUUACGAUGACGAGGGUUCCGGUUGAUCCGAUCAACGGAACAGUUUGCUCGUGAAAUUAACGUGUAAGUGGCUGAGCACUCCACAGACACGUGUACCCUUAACGUAUUUCUCGGGGAUAUUCAGCGUGACACAGAGAGUGACAAGGCCGGCCCUUUGAAAUACAGGUACAACAGAAACAGGAAGUAAGAGUGAGAGAAAGUUGUGGUGAAAGAGUACAGCAGGGAUCACCACCAUCCCUGCCGGAGGCUCGUGGAGCUUUUGGGUGUUUUCGCUCAAUAAACACUCACAACGCCCGGUCUGGGAAUCGAAACCGCGAUCCUACAACCGCGAGUCCGCUGCCCUAACCACUGGGCCAUUGCGCCUCCACCGUUGUACAUACAUACCCACAUACAUACCCACAUACAUACAUAUAUUCAUACAUAUUUCCCAAAAAAGGUUAGAAACAUUUUCAUAACAAUUUUUUAAAUAAUUUUUUUUAGAAAAAUCACCUUUACACUUCAAAAACUGAAAUUGACAGCUAACGUUUGAAGAUUUUACACAGAGUAAUAUUGUGUCUAGGAAUGAUCUUGGACAUGAAUAAUAAUUUCAUAUCUUUAUUCCUAUUAGUAUACAAAUACAAAUUGGUUUCAAACUUUGAUAUAAGGCCCGCAGUUUGGCGGGUGAGAGUAAGCCGGUUACAUCGAUCCCAGUCCUCAACUGGUACUUAUUUUAUUAACCCUGAAAAGAUGAAAGGCAAAGUUGACCUUGGUGGAAUUUAACCUCAAAACGUAAAGACAGACGAAAUGCCGCUAAAUAUUUUCUUCCAGCGUGGUUGCGAUUCUACCAGCUCUCUAAUCUAUUUACUUGUUAAUAUAUUAAGGCGGCGAGCUGGCAUUGGGAAAAUGCUUAGCGGCCUUUCAUCUGUCUUUACGCUCCGAGAUCAAAUUUUGCAGAGGUCGACUUUGUCUUUCGACCUUUUGUGGCCGAUAAAAUAAAUAGCAGUCGAGCAUUGGGAUCGAUGUAAUCGAUUUAAUCCCUUCCUCGAAAUUGCCAGCCUUGUGCCAAAUUUUGAAACCAAUAUACUGAGUUAAAUUAAGGCAGCGAGCUGGCAGAAUUGUUGCCCGGCUUUAGGCUCUGAGAUCAAAUUCCGUCGAGGUUGACUUUACAUUUCAUCCUUUCAGGGUCAACGAAAUAAGUAUUAGUUGAUUACAUUGAUCGCAGUAAUCGACUUGAUUAUUGGUGGGGUGGUCAAUGUAAUUGGCUUGCUUCCACCCCCAAAAUUGCUGACAUUGUGACAAAAUUUGAAACCAAUAUACUAAUAGUAAUUGAAGAAUGGCAAUAUCGAGUUGCUCAGCUGGUUAAAGGAAAAUUUACACGGUCACUCUAAACUCCAUGUUUACAGGAAUGUCUUGAAGUCUACAUGCAACUAGUUAAAAGGAAAGAGAAAACAGUUUACGUCUAUUUCUACGAGAAAAAACUACAUAGUAUGCAUUGUAUCUAAUCUCAAGUAAUCUGCAGCUAAAUUUCUCCAAAAAUAUAAAGAUUUAAAAACGAAAUGAAGCAGAAGGGAGUUAAAAUAAACAACGUUUGAAGUGAUAUUACAAUAAUAACUUAAUCCGACCUACCAAUUUAUCGAGAGAUUUGGAAUCUGAAACAGGAGUACAAAGACCACAGUGUUUGGCAUAUUUCGACAUUUGGUUGCAUAUUUCCAAGUUGUUCAUCUGAGAGAAGUAGUGGAGGACAUCAUAGUGGAAAAUAAUACAAAAACGUUCUAACUGCGCUGCUCUCUUUUAAGAUGAGAUCAAAUUUAAAACGUUGAUAUUCGGAGGCUAUCUAAUCUUGAAACCUCACUUGAAAUUUAAGACUGUGUUGUUAUAAUCAGUUGAGCUGGGAAUAUAGGCACUAUAACAACUUACAUAAAUGUGAUUUAAUAAUAAUAAUAAUAAUAAUAAUAAUAAUAAUAAUAAUAAUAAUAAUAAUAAUAAUAAUAAUAAUAAAAUAAUAAUAAUAAUAAUAAUAAUAAUAAUAAUAAUAAUAAUAGCAACAACAACAAUAAUAAAAGUAAUAAUAAUUGUAUGAAUGUUCGUCACAAUAAAAACUUCAAAAUUUUCCCUCGCUCAUUGUGUAUUUGUUAAAACAUUUUUGUUGUGGAAGAACCAAAGGGAUUUGAAAAGAAUCAAAGCACCCAUUGAUGCAUAAGCAUUUAGACAUGCGUACAAUCCAUGUACACACACGAACACACACACAAACUCACUCACAUACACACACAUAUAUAUGCAUAUAUGCAUAUAUAUAUAUAUAUGCAUAUAUAUAUAUAUAUGCAUAUAUAUAUAUAUAUAUGCAUAUAUAUAUAUACAUGUAUAUAUUUAUAUAUAUAUAUAUCGAGAGAAGUAUAUGCACAGAUUAAUACAUGCAAUUACGUAUAUGUAUACAUAUCUGAAUGCGUACAUACGUUACAUGUGUGCGUGUGUAUGUGUGUAUAAAAGUGCUAGUGUCGAUUUGUUCCAUUAAAACCGUUCUAGGCAGCGCACCAGCAUGGCCGCACUGAAAUGACUGAAAGAAGUAGAAGAUACAUACACAUACGCACAUAUAUAUAUGUAUGUAUAUCUAUAUAUGUAUAUGUAUAUGUAUAUAUAUAUAUAUAUAUAUUGUUAUAUUUCGGAAUGGUCAUAUUUAAACGUAUAUAUAUAUAUAUAUAUAUAUAUAUGAAUUUUUGUAAAUUUUUGCCUUGAAUGGAUUUUUUACCUUUUAAAUGCAUAAUGCAAUCUUAGUUGCAAAAUAUGAAUGAAAAUCAGAAAUUGAAACGUACGUAGGCGAUAUGAAAUUGACUAUUAUAUAAUGAUUUGAUUUUUCUGUGUUCAAACGUGUCUUUUUUCUUAUCUUAUAUUAUUCAAAUUCUGUUCUCCUGUAUCGAAUAGAUGAAAGCGCCUACUGGAACUUCAUAAGUGUUAACACUAAUACUAACACAAAUUGAUGAAUUCCAAGUAUGUUAAUCGAUAUGGAACUAAACCGAUGUACUCUUGGAUAGAUUACAUCCUUGUGAAGGACCAACCACUUUCAAUUCGAAAUUAUAUAUAUAUAUAUAUAUAUAUAUAUAUAUAUAUAUAUAUAUAUAUAUAUAUAUAUAUAUAUAUAUAUAUAUAUAUAUAUAUAUAUAUAUAUAUAUAUGUAUGUAUGUAUAUGUAUAUAUAUAUGUGUGUGUGUAUAUAUAUAUAUAUAUGUAUAUAUAUAUAUAUAUAUAUAUAUAUAUAUAUACGUAUGUAUAUAUUUAUGUAUAUAUGUAUGUGUGUGUGCCUAACUACAUGCACAAACUAGCGUACACAGAUGAGUUUGCAAGUGGCAAUUCGUCGUGUAACCAGACUCCCAAAUGAAGUGCCGUCGAUUGGUCUGGAGUCCAUAACACUCACUUAUAGGCGUGGUGUAACGAACCAGUGGCUGUGGAUACCUCAAUGCAGUUGCUUGACUUGUUAGGGAUAGCACCAAAAAUGUACGUUGCAUAACGUGUUCCAGAUGCUGUUAAAUGAGGAAGGAUUCACGGAUAGAAUGCAUUUGACCAAGGGUUUAACAAUUAUGUAUUGAACCACUAGCAAUAUCGAACGUUUGCCGUAGUUACCAAUCUUAUCUGGUUGCUACCAUAAAUCUCUUGGAUAUACUAAGUGUUUCAUUGAAAUAAUAUGGCGUAAUGUGAACUAAAAUAUAUAUAAAAUUAACACACAACACAUGUUAUUUUGGAUGAAGUAUUUAUUUUGCAUCUUAAAGACAUUAACGAAAGCUGUCAAGCAAAUAAUCAAACAUAUAUAAGGAUUAAAGGCAUUAUGCACACGCACAAAAAAACACAAGACGUAUCCUGAUAAACAUACACACACACAGAGGCGCAUACACACACGCACACACACAUACGUUUAUGUAUUUGUUUUGCAAAAUUCCUGAUGUCAAAUUGUGUAUUGAAACAUACAUUGUAAUAUUUCGGAAUGGUCACUUUUUUUGCCAAAUAAACACACGAACUACAUAUAUUCGUUCUUCACUUUAGAUCUAUCAUUGUUCUUAUUUUUAUGUCUGAUGUUUUCAAAUCUUUCCUCACACCUCCUGUGACCUCUUCAGCGACUCUCCACCACACGUGUCUCCUCGACUAAACAGAACAGUAGGAGACACGUGACGUACAGAACAUCAGAUUUAAUUGUUAUUCCUUAUACAUCAUUUACAUGUCAUUGAAAACCAGAUUGAGAUCCCUGCUGACGAUACGGAAGGGUUUCCAGUAAUUCAAGGAAUUUAGAAGAGUUAACAAAACUCCCGAAUAGCUCCUGCAAUUUCUGUGUGGGGCAAAGCUUUUCUGAUGUUUAUUUUACCCAUAAACCACAUAUUCAAAUGCUAAGCAUAAAAACCUACUAGCUAUUAUUUAAUCCACCGAUUUUACAGCCACCAUAAUGCUCUUUUAGUGAACAGUGGUAUGCUCAGAAAAUAUUUAUGUAAGAAUACAUUUGGGUUUAAAAGUAAAUAUUAUCUGAAGUUACGUGGUCUUUCUGGAAAAACAAAAAAACAAAAGCAAAACAAAAAAGAAAACAUCGGUAACAAAAGACAAAAGUUUGUUCAAACGAAACCUUUGCUUUUCAGAAAUGAUAUCUUAAUAUUUGACGUAAAAAGAUGUUUUUUUCUCUCAAAUAUCAAUGUCGUGAGCUUAGUGAGCCAACACACAAAUAUUUUUCUACCGCUGCUCUUCAUAGGAAAUAUUUUCUGCUGGGAACAUUUUACACUCCUUUGGAUAUAUAAACCAAAUCUUCGGCUUGUGUUCAUAUCUUUUGUGUUUUUCUAGUAAGUCAUGUGCCAGUAGGUGCAAAAUGAUGUUUUUGUUGUAUCCAACUUACAUAUUGUUCCUUUGAGAACUCCAUGAUAUAUCACAAAGAACGUCCCUUUUUAAAAGGAAUUUAUUUCAAACCUUUAUUUCAACAUACGCAUGCAUGAUUACACCCCCACCUAAAUCACAUAGAUAUACAUUAGUACUGCAUUGUUUGACAUAUUAACGUGUGUCGUAACACUUGAGGAGUUGCGACUAAUGUCUUAACAAUUGAAGCAUUGACGAUAGUAUCUUAACUGUCGAAACAUUGACGGGAGCAUCUUGAAAGGUGAGGUGUUAAGAUUUCAGUCUUUACUGUAAGAAUACUUGCACCAGCGUCUAAACAAUUGGAAUAUGAAUAUUAAUUUCUAAACAGUUGAGAUAUUGACGAUAAAGUCUUAAUAUUUGAGACGAUGGCAUUAGAGGUUUUUGAAGGCGGCGAGCUGGCAGAAACGUUAGCACGCCGGGCGAAAUGCUUAGCGGUAUUUCGUCUGCCGUUACGUUCUGAGUUCAAAUUCCGCCGAGGUCCACUUUGCCUUUCAUCCUUUUUUGGGGUCGAUUAAAUAAUUACCAGUUACGCACUGGGGUCGAUGUAAUCGACUUAAUCCGUUUGUCUGUCCUUGUUUGUCUCUUCUGUGUUUAGCCCCUUGUGGGUAGUAAAGAAAUAGGCAUAAGAGGUUUUUAACAAUUUAUACAUUGACUUUAGUGUUUAACAGUUAAGACACCGUUGGUAGGACUUUAACAAUUGAAUACUGUCUUCAGAAUUCUAGGCAUUAAUGUCCUAACAUUUGCAAUGAUGCCAUUAGAUUUCUUUUCUUAUGGCAAUUCUGAUGUUGGCGUUAAAUUCUAACAAGUAAGUCAUUGACCUUCAUAUCUUAAUAGUUGUGACAUUGAUGUUAUUGUCCUAUCUUUUGUGGUACAGACUUUAGUGUUUUAACAGUUGUGAUAUUAGCAUGAAUAUUUUAAACUAAAACAUUGACACUCGCGUCCUAAUAAAUGAGACAACGACAUUAGUAAUUUAACACUUGAAAUGCCGACGUUAGCGUUUCAGCAGUUGUGAUGUCGGCAUGAAUGUCUUAACUACUAAGACAUAGACUUGAGAUAAUGACUUUAGUGAGAUGUUGGUAUUGGUGCUUUAACAUUGAAUAUAUGGACAUCAGUCACCUAGGCGCAGGAGGUGGCCGUAUGAUAAGUAGCUUGCUUACAAACAACAUGGUUCGGGGUUCGGUCCCACUGCGCGGUACCUUGGGUAAGUAUCUUCUACUAUAUCCACGGACUGACCAAAGUGGAUUUGGUUAGAUGGAAACUGAAAGAAGCCCGUCGUAGGUUUGUGUGUCUCCGUUUGUCCCCCCACCCAUCGCUUGAUAACUGAUGUUAGUGUGUUUACGUCCCCGUAACUCAGCGGUUCAUCAAAAGAGACCGAUAGAAUAAGUACUAGGCUUACAAAGAAUAAGUCAUGGGUUCGAUUUGUUCGGCUAAAGGCGGUGCUCCAGGCGGUAAAUCGACUAAAUCGACCCCAGUGCUCAACUGGUACUUACUUUAUCGAUUCCGAAAGGACGAAAAGCAAACUCGGUCCCGGUAGAAAUGGAACUCAGAACGAAAAUACGGACGCAAUGUUGCUAAGCAUUUCGCCCGGCGUGCAAACGACUCUACCUGUUUGCCACCUUAAUCACUAUUAAAUAUUGGUUUCAAAUUUUGGCACGAGGCCAGCAAUUUUAGGAGAGGAGUGAGUUGAUUAAUUGUACCCCAAUGCGCAACUGGUACAUAGUUUACAUAGUUUAUAAGGCGGCGAGCUGGCAGAAACGUUAGCACGCCGGAUGAAAUGCUUAGCGGUAUUUCAUCUGUCGUUACGUUGUGAGUUCAAAUUCCGCCGUGGUUGACUUUGCCUUUCAUCCUUUCGGGGUCGAUAAAUUAAGUACCAGUCACGCACUGGGGCCGAUUUAAUCGACUUAAUCCGUUUGUCUGUCCUUGUUUGCCCUCUCUAUAUUUAGCCCCUUGUGGGUAGUAAAGAAAUAGAUUCUCCCAGCUCACUGCUUUAACCACCACCAAAUAUUAAAAUAUUCUUUUCAAAUCAUUGUGUAUCUUUAGGAAUUCUGACCUUCAUUAUGUCCCACGUUUCUAUUUUGUGAACAUAAAACGACUGACCCAAUUUUUAAAAGCAGACAGCAGUAAUAAAUUCUGUGUAUUUGUUUACGGAGUAUAUAAAUACAUUUAGAUAACCUUAUUACCAUAUUUCGUAUGUUAUUUUUGUUUGUAGUCUGUGUGUACAUAUGUGUGUGUGUGUGGGGGGGGAUGACUUUAUUUCAUGUCAAACUCUACUUUUCUUUGACGCAUUUCUUUAAGUUAACAAGUUUCCCACUGCAAAUUCAUCAUGGGUUCGAUUUGUUCGACUAAAGGCGGUGCUCCAGCAUGGCCCUAGUCAAGAUGACUGAAACAAACAAAAGAAUAAAAGAAUAGAAAUUAGCAUCGUAAUAGUUGGGAAAUUUACAUUAAUGGAUUAAUAGUAUUUUAAGAACUGAAAUAUCAGCAUUAGUGUUGUAACUUUUGAGAUACUGAUAGUCUUUACGUAUGACAUGUAGACAUAGCGUCACAACAGUUGAAGUACUAAUAUUAGUAUCUUGACAAUUAAGAUCAUGUUAUGACAUUUGUGUCUUCACAAUUGAGAUCAGGUUAUGACGUAAGUGUUUCAAUAGGUGAGAUAUAGGCAGAUGUGGUAUUGACACGAGUGUCUUAAGAAGAGAAAUAUCGACACAUUAGUAUCGUAGUAGUUGCUACUACAAGAUCCUGUCCUUGUUACGGUGCGAUAUCGUGUGUUCGUCGAUGGUACCGAGAGAGCAAUUCUUUGUGUACAAAACCGACUGCACAAAACUUUGCACAUCUAUUCCAUGUUAUUUCGGUUUGCUCACAAAGAUUUUAAGUUUUGGAGGAAUGCUCUUGGAAAAAAAUUUUUGAAACUGAUGGAAGUGCGAGAGCAGAAACUAAUAUCUUGUGUAUGUUCUUUUCUACACUGGCACAAGGCCCGAAAAUUUGGGGGAGGGAGCCAGUCGAUUAGAUCGACCACAUUACGCAAAUGGUACUUAAUUUAUCGACUUCGAAAGAAUGAACGGCAAAGUCGACGUCGCAGGAUUUUGAAAUCAGAACGUAAAUACAGACGAAAUAGCGCUAAGCAUUUCGCCCGUCGUGCUAACGUUUCUGCCAGCUCGCCCGCCCUAAAUACUCGAAACGAAAUUUCAAAUUUUUGGCACAAGACUAGCAAUUCUGGGAGAGUGGAUAAGUCGAUUACAUCGACCCCAGUGCACAACUGGUACUUAUUUUGUCGACUCCGAAAUGAUGAAAGGAAAAUUUGAACUCGGCGGAAUGUGAACUCAUAACGGAAAAACGGGGAAAAUACCCGGCGUGCUAACGACUCUGCCAACUCGCCGCCUUAAAGACAAACAUUAAAUACUGGCUUCAAAUUUUGGCACGAAGCCAGUAAUCUCGGUGGGGUGGUUGCAUACGGACGAAAUGCUGCUAACCAUUUUAUGCGGUGUGCUAACGAUCCUGCCAGCUCGCCGCCCGACAAACAUUAAAUAUUGCAAACGUUUUUUUUUACCAGUUGACACUUGAGAGCUAAUAAGCUAUAAUGUUGGGCGUUCGUGAAAUGCACAGCAAAUAAAGAGUUAGCUAUAAGAAGGUGGCCGACAUGUUUCUUAGUUCCCAACGAAGAACACUAUUCUGGUGUUUUAAAUACUUCAAGAGCUGAAGAAGCAGCUUUUAAUAGAGUUUUGUAGCUCUUAAUAGACUUAUCAUGAAAGAAAAUACAAACAUGAGUGAUGGCUUAAUAUCUGUGUAAUACGAAAUAAAACAAAUAAUGAUUUAGCGUAUAAAUAUAAUGAAAGUGUAAUAGAGAUGAUAGAUAUUGUAUAGCCAUGAUGCAUUCAGUUGAUAUGACCCGUUCAAAGCGAGAGAUCGCAAAAGAGCAAGGCUUGUUUCUCUGGAUUGUAUGCAAUUAGUCAAAUGCUGUCGAACUAAACCACAUUCGUGCUAAAAACAUAACCAGACAGAUAAAGUAAUAAAAGUAGCAAAAGAUAAAAUAAUUAAACGAUAAAUAUAAACCUAAACUAAUUUUAACAAUUAACCGAGAUAUCCAUUUCAUAAAGACUUUCUUUCUUUCUUUCUUUCUUUCUUUCUUUCUUUCUUUCUUUCUUUCUUUCUUUCCUUCCUUCCUUUCUUUCUUUCUUCUUCCCAUUCUUUCUUUCUUCCUUCCCCUCUUUCUCUACCUCCUCUCCCAUCUCUAUCUAUCUGUCUAUCUAUCUAUCUAUCUAUCUAUCUAUCUAUCUAUCUAUCUAUCUAUCUAUCUAUCUAUCUAUCUAUCUCUAUGUAUGUAUGUAUGUACGUCCGUACGUACGUACGUAUCUAUCUAUCUAUCUAUCUAUCUAUCUAUCUAUCUAUCUAUCUAUCUAUCUAUCUAUCUAUCUAUCAAUCUAUCUAUCUAUCUAUCUAUCUAUCUAUCUAUCUAUCUAUCUAUCUAUCUAUCUAUCUAUCUAUCUAUCUAUCUAUCUAUCUAUCUAUCUAUGUAAUGCCCGUACACAAAUACAGCCACAAGUGAAACAGUAAAACACAAAAUUUCUUUGAAUUCAACAGACUUAGUAAAUACUUCGCUUUAAACAUCAUUUCCUCAAAUACUGACUUACUUUACGCCUGUUUCGGGUGAUUCGUAAUAUCUUGUUAUUAACGCACUAUAAGACUGCGAGCUGUUAGGUGGCAUUUCAUCUAUCAAUAGGUUCUGAGCUCAAUCCCAUCGACGUCGACUUUGCCUUGCGCACUGAGGUCAAUGUAACCUAGUUACCCACUGCUGGCCUUGUGCCAAAAUGUGAAACCUAUAUUAACGCAUAAAUAACAUUUACUGAAAGUCAAUUCGUGGCAACCAUUUUCAUAAACCACAGACUAACAUUAGUCUCGAUAUCGCGAUAAAAAACACAACUUCUUUCCAUUCUGUUAAGACUUCUGUGUGCAAACUAUAAAAAUGUCGGACAUAAGUCCACCCAACCUCAUCCCAUCCAAGGCGGCGAGCAGGUAGAAUCGUUAUCUGCCGGACCAGCCACUUAGUGGUAUUUCUUCCGGACCUUUACGUUCUAAGUUCAAAUGCGACAGAGGUUGAAUUUUCCUUUCGUCCUUUGGGGUCGAUAAAAUAAAAGCUAGUUGAGCACAGAUGCCCAUGUACCCGACUAGAUGUUUCUAAAUUUUGAAAGCAUUUUACAGAUACUCUACCGAUUCAGCCAUCUACCAGCAGCAGCAGCAGUAGUAGUGGUAGCGGCGGUGGUAGAAGAUUCUUAAGAAAGGUCCAACAGACGAAGCUAUUCGUCAGUUGUUAACGACGUUUCAGAAAACUGAAUCUGUGCAUUGAUGGCACCAGAAGUGGACGCCCAAGAAAUUUGGAAAAAGAAGUGAAUUGGUUCGAGAAGCAUUCGAACAAGAUACGCAAUUAUCAGCUCAUAGGGCAGCUGACAUGUUAGAAAUUCCAUGUACACUAAUCCGUUGUCUGUGUGGUAAGUAGCUUGCUUACCAGCCACAUGGUUCCAGGUUCAGUCCCACUGCAUAAACACCUUGGGCACGUGUCUUCUACUAUAGCCUCGGGCCGACUAAAGCCUUGUGAGUGGAUUUGAUAGACGGAAACUGAAAGAAUAUAUAUAUAUACAUAUGUAAAUAUAUAUAGAUAUGUAUGUGUGUAUAUGUUUGUGUGUCUGUCCGUCCCCCCAACAUCACUUGACAACCGAUGCUGGUGUGUUUACGUCCCCAUAACCUAGCGGUUCGGCAAAAGAUACCGAUAGAAUAAGUACUAGGCUUACAAAGAAUAAGUCCUGGGGUCAAUUUUCUCGACUAAGGGCGGCGCUCCAUUAUGGCCACAGUCAAAUGACUGAAACAAGUAAAAGAGAGCGAAUUGAAUAACAAAGCUUAUCGCAUCCAAGUUUUCCACAACUUACAAGAAGAGAUCAAAGAUGUGCGCUAAGAUUAUUGAUCAAAUUGGAAGAACCAAUUUAAUCAAGAAAAUUCUAUUCAGUGAUGUAGAAAGAUCGAUCGACACAAUUGUCGCAUUUGAGGGAGCGAAAAGCCAACUGAAUUUCUUGAAUGGGAACGAAAUACACCGAAAGGGAAUGUUUGGCUUGAUAUAGCUAAGUCAAAGGCGUAUGGACCUUACUUCUGCGUAAAGACUACGGUCACGGGAUUUGUUUAUCGUGAUGUGCUUGAACAGUUCUUCAAACCUCAACUUCUUACAGAAGACAUUCUUGACACUGUAGUUUUCAACAGGAUGGAGCAUCUAAAAUGUUGACUGGAGCUCACAGUUCUCUCUUAGAUAGAUAUUACGACUAUCAGAAAGUGAUUCUUAAAUAAAAAAGGAGAGAAGCGGGUGCGGGUGACGAUGUUUAGACGAAAAGCAAUUAGGAAUCAAAUGGGUAAAUAUCCUUUAGCAACUAAGAGAAACCCUCCCGAGGGUGGUUUUUCUGCUAGUGUGUACAGUAACCGAAAGAAAGCAAAAAAAAAAAAAAAUCUACUUCCAAAUAAACUUUUUCUUUUUUUUUUUUACUUUCACUUUCUGCUGAGAAGGCGGCGAGCUGGCAGAAUCGUUAGCACGCCGGGCGAAAUGCUUAGCAGUAUUUCGUCUGCCACUACGUUCUGAGUUCAAAUUUCACCGAGGUCGACUUUGCCUUUCAUCCUUUUCUGGGAUCGAUUAAUUAAGUACCAGUUAUGCACUGGGGUCAAUAUAAUCGACUUAAUCCGUUUGUCUGUCCUUGUUUGUCCCCUCUAUGUGUAGCCCCUUCGGGCAGUAAAGAAAUAGGUAUUUCGUCUGCCGCUACGUUCUGAGUUCAAAUUCCGCCGAGGUUAUCUUUGCCUUUUAUCCUUUCUGGGUCGAAUAAAUAAGUACCAGUUACGCACUGGGGUCGAUAUAAUCAGCUUAAUCCGUUUAUCUGUCCUUGUUUGUCCCCUCUGUGUGUAGCCCCUUGUGGGCAGUAAAGAAAUAGGUAUUUCGUCUGUCGCUGAGUUCAGAGUUCAAAUUCCGCCGAGGUCGACGUUGCCUUUCGUCCUUUCGGGGUCGAUUAAAUAAAUACCAGUUACGCACUGAGGUUGAUAUAAUCGACUGUCCCCCACCCCGCAUAAUUUCGGGCUUUGUGCCUAGAGUAGAAAAGAAUUUGUGCUGAGAAGAAAAAAGCGAAGAAAAAUAGAAACACAAGGAAAACAGUGAAAUACUUUCACUUUUACCAACAGAAUUCCCCUUCAAAGUAAAUGGUUUCAUUUUAAAGCACUUCAUAGGGUCCCGUGAAACUGGAUCCAUGUUUUGCACACUACAAAUUCACAAAAAAUUAAAAUAUUCUUAAUAACUUUAAAGUAUUUUUUUAACAAACAUUUUUAAAGCAAUAUUUUUAAAAGCAGAAAUUGAUACAGUUGAAUGUAAUUUCCAGCUACAAGCGUUUAUUGUUUACAUUUGUUGUGAAUAAACAUGUUUGGUUUGCCAACGGUGCAAUACUAAUUGCUUUCAUUAUAGAACAAGUAUUACUUUCGUUGAAAUGUAAACAAAGCAAUUUUUUUAUUCGUAUUAUUUCAAAUGUAAACGAGCAAAAACCAAAAAAAUUUCCUGAAGCAAUAAGCGCAGAAAAUCGUAUCUAUUUUCUAAUUUAAAAACUACUAUUUUUUUUAAAAAACGUAUUUUAAAACGUUAAGCAACUGUUUUAGAAUCUUUAGCUUAGAUAUUGUGAAUCUGUGAUUUUCAAAAACUUAAAAAUUUGCAAACCGUAAAGGAAAAAGUGUUCUAUGUAUAAGUUGUAAAGAUUUAAAAAAAUGGCCGCUUAAAAGAAUAAAUGCAUUAGAGUUCCGUCAUGAAUGACACUAGUGGGAUUUGUCCCUAUAGCUUCAAAAAUGGAGGCUUAUGGCAUUAAUAACUUUUAAGUCUUUACUAUAUUUGGUCCGUUUUCUCCUGGAUCACCGCUCUUUCUUCAUUCUAUGCGCGAUUAAUCUGGUUUAUACAUGUUUCUUUGUUGCCCACAAGGGGCUAAACAUAGAGGGGACAAACAAGGACAAACAGAUUAAGUCGAUUACAUCGACCCCAGUGCGUAACUGGUACUUAAUUUUAUCUACCCCUAAAGGAUGAAAGGCAAAGUUGACCUCGGCGGAAUUUGAACUCAGAACGUAACGGCUGACGAAAUACGGCUACGCAUUUCGCCCGGGGUGCUAACGGUUCUGCCAGCCUUUUAAUCUGGUUUGUAUAUUUGAGUCUUAUUUCAGACCUAUCUUUUAUACAUUAAAAUUAUUUUUUCUGAUAAUUCUUCUUCUCCCUACUCGCUCUUUUGACCGCUUCUCCCCUUCUUUAGCAGACUCACACACACGCACGCGCACACACAUACACACACACGACACACACACACACACACACACACACACACACACACACACACACUCACACACACAUCUUUUACUGUUUCAGAUGUUUCCUCUCACCUUUUCUCUGCUUACUCGCUGUCGAACCAUUGAUGUAGAAGCUAUAAUGAUUGAAGAGCAUUCCUUUCGAGCUGGGAUGCAGGGGUUCGAUGUGGACACAUGCGGGAGACGCCACUGGGAUAGUAUCGCAGGCCACGAAGGUGGAGUUGGUCGGCAUCUUUCUAAAGAGAUACGAAGUGCUGCACGGACGAAAGAUAAAUAUGGUCGACUCAGUUUCUUGCCCAUACAGUUGUACAGCGUCACGGGAGGCUGGACAGACGGCUCGGUUAAACUGGUUGGGAUCUAGUUGGGUCCGAGCCCUCAAGACGAAAAAAAUAGGGACAAGUUUACGAGCAGUAUAAGAUAACUGAGGGUGACUGAGAGAUAGGGCUGUGAUUAAGUUAUCUCUAAAACGUCAAGCGGAUCGCCCCUGCUAAAUUGCUUCCGUUAUAGUUUAUCUGCUGCCCUUCCUGUGUUGCCUCAGUUCCUGUCUGAACAAACUGGAGUGUCAGGGCAUUCGCUUCUUGUGGAAAGGACGCGUUCCACUGGUCAAGCGGUCGAUAUGCUACCAGUGCAACGCAAGCUCGGCAUACCAUAGCUACUGAUGUGCAGCCAUACGUUCUGGCACAACUUGUAAUGGUUUGGGAAAAGCCUAGGGCAUUCGUUCACGAUUGUUGCGUUAUUAUUAUUAUUAUUAUUAUUAUUAUUAUUAUUAUUAUUGUUGUUGUUGUUGUUGUUAUUAUUAUUGAGUAGUUAUUAUUAUUAUUAUUAUUAUUAUUAUUAUUAUCUUAUCAAGAUAAACACCACAUGACCUUGCAGGUGGGGCCCAGUUAGAAUUUUCUUCAGGUUGAGUAGCCCAUCCCGCUCAAAAGGUCCCUGAAUAAGAGUUGUUUAAGGAUGUUGAAAGAACCACCCAUGUUUCCAGAGGUGAAUUAUUCAAACCCCAAAGAAUCCCUCUCAACACAUGGCUAUGAUGCUCCCCCACUACUUCUGCUCGUGAUCAGAGAUGCACAUAUCGUCAGCCACCAAGGGACAUGCUCAACUGGUUAAGGUCAAACAACUGACAAGCAAAUCUGUGGUAUUGAGCAGAAUAUUUGCUGUAGCUCAUCUUUUAUACCAAGACAAAACAAUGUACAUGAUAUUAUUAUUAUUAUUAUUACUAUUUUAGAGGCGGCAAGUUGGCAGAAUUGUUAGCAUACCGGGCAGAAUGCGUAGCAGUAUUUCGCCCGCCCGUCGCUAUGUUCUGAGUUCAAACUCCGCCGAGUCCGACUUUGCCUUUCACCCUUUUUGGGGUCAAUAAAGUGCCAGUGAAACACUGGGGUCGAUGUAAUCGACUGGUUCCCUCCCCACAAAUUUGAGGCCUUUUGUCUCUAGUAGAAAGGAUUAUUAUUAUUAUUAUUAUUAUUAUUAGUAGUAGUAGUAGUAACAGCAGCAGCAGUAGCAGUAGUAGUAGUAGUAGUAGUAGAAGUAGUAGUAGUAGUAAAUGUUCGAUUCAUUCUUUCUUUGUUUUCACACAGAAUCUAUCUUAGAUAGGUCACAGAGUUCUGCGAACGACAAUGUAAAUCUGCCGGGAAUUUGUCAAUGCAUCCCAUAAAAGUGGCAACGCCUAUUCGUGUCUAGACGACCUCAAAAAAUAAAGUACAAGACAUACGGGUUUCUUUUUUUCUUUUUGGCCGACAUAUCAACUCAAUUGCUUUCAUCUGCAAUUCUUCAACAACUCUUCUCUUAUUCAAUUGUUCGUUCUCAUGUCAAUAGUAAACAUUGUGUAAAGCAGAUGUUUAUAGCUUAGCGAGACCGUCUCAAAGAAAGCCUAUUGGUAACGGUAGAAGGGGCGUCAAUUACAUUUGGUAACAAAUACAACAGAACAUCAAACUAUUCAAGGCACUUAAGGUUACCAAGCGAGUGAUCUUAAAACACUGGUGGGACAACAACACACACACAUACAUAUAUGUACAUGCACACUUAUACUUAUGUAUAUGUAUAUGGAUGUAUCCAUGCAUAUGUAUGUGUAUGUAUAUACAUACAUACAAACUUACAUACAUACAAACAUACAUACAUAUAUGCAUAUACUUAUAUAUAUAUUUAUAUACACACACACACACACACAUACAUAUUAUCUCCCCUAAUUUCGCUCUUGCGUCUCACGUUCGAUCUUUGACUUCUGGCCGAAAUCAGAUCGCCAUGUUGAUUCGCUAGCCUCUGCACGCAUUUUUUUCUCUCCUUCUUUCUGUGUUUCUUUUCUGUGUAUCUUUCUGUUGAAGAGCCUAGGCUCGAAACGUAAAAGACUUGUUUUAUUUAUAUUCCUGAGCGCCAUACUAAUACAAUUGUUUGUUUGUAUUCCACCUGCCUUCGUCUUUUGUUUAUUUUCAUAAAGCUUCCCGUUAUAUAUAUAUAUAUAUAUAUAUAUAUAUAUAUAUAUAUAUAUAUAUACGGGGCGGGUGAAAAGUAAGUAGGCAUUAAAAAUUGGUAAUAAAAUCCCUAUUCCUUUUACAAAUUUAUUGAAAUAAAUGAUUCAUGUUCUUUAUUAGAUGGGAAAAUGAAAGUAAAUCUUCAUAUCUGAACGUAAGCUCAGGUGGCGUCAACCAUUUUUCUCAAACGGCCAGGGGCGGAAUGAACAACUUCCUGAAAGACGUCGUCUGGGAUAUCAUUGAGAACCUCCUGGAUCCGUGUCUCCAAGUCCUCCAGUGUUCGAGGUUUUGUCUUGUACACCUCUUUUGUGUAACCCCACAGGUAAAAAUCACAUGUAGUGAGAUCUGGACUCCUGAGACUUCUGCGGUCACAGUUUUCAUGUUUUAGCUCCUGCACGUAAUGGGGUUUCCACGGACGAAACUUCAAUUCUUUAUGCAACAUUCUACGUAUUGUGUCUUGUUGGUCCUAACUUUCACGAGUUGCUUGACGUGUUGAUUUUUACGGGCUGCGAUUAAGCAUUUUCUGCACUGUUGCCAUGUUCUCCGCUGAUCGGGAUGUGGUUAGACGACCACUUUUCUUGCAUCGUUUACAGAGCCCGUGGUCAUCAGCUUUGCAUGACAACCUUUUAUUGUCUCCAGACGUAGUGUUGGAUGAUUACUUUUCCAUACACGCCACCAUCUCUGAACCAAAACAACGGAAUUCCACACUUCAUAGCGCACUGUUAUGUUAGCUUGCUCCUGAAUAGUCAAUCUGAAAAAUAAGAAACAAGAAAUAAGACAAUAAAAAAUUUAAAAAAUCCCCAUAAGUUUUGUCUGUUUAAGAAAUGUUUUUGUAAUGACUUCAGUGAUACUAAAAAUUAUGUAAGUAAUUUCUAAUGCCUAGUUACUUUCCACCUACCUUGUGUGUAUAUUUAUAUAUAUAUAUAAAUGCGCUCUUUUAAAGCCUAGCCAAGCUCAUGGCUCUGGUUUCUCGGUUUCAAUGGCGUAUGUGUCCUCCAGCUGGACGGGAUGCCAGUCCAUUGCAGCGUUACUCCUGUUUGCCAGCUGAGUGGACUGGAGCAACGUGAAAUGAAGUGUUUUGCUCAAGAACACAACGCGUCGCCCGGUCCAGGAAUCGAAACCACAACCUUACGAUCAUGAUGUUGAUACCCUAACCACUAAGCCACGCGCCAACACACACACACACACACACACACACACACACACACACACACACACACACACACACACACACACACAUAUAUAUAUAAUUGAUGAAAGAAAUAGAAGAUAGAUUUAGCACUAGUCUUUAUUCAGUGCGACGAUCGUUUCGACUCAUCCCGCAACUGUCCGUCAUGGAUAGGAUAUUGUGCAUCUAAUUGUGUUGCAUCAAUCUGUGCAGUUUCUGUUACAUCAGGUACAUGCAUAAAGAAGGGAAUGCCUCACUAGAUAUACUACAUUCUCUUAGGCAUGUUGUUCUUGUCGGCUGUGCGUAUAAUUAAACCAAGAAAAGGAAAAGCACUACAAUAACCCAAUACACCCUUCUUCAGCUGUCCACCGGACAUCACAAGGGUUUCAAUACUGUUCGAUAGUAUCACUUCGUCCAUCGGUGGUAAGCAACAUAGUGUAUCAAGGUGUUGUAUAAUAUAUGUAACCUAAAUAGUAGCAGCGUUGUGAACUGCCUGUUCAUAGGGAUGUAGUUUAACCAACCAUGCAACGUCACUGUAGUUACUUAUAUAGCCAGAAACUUUGUCUCUAAUAAGACAUCAUUUCCGAUCGACGCAGAAGUGCAACAAAAUCUCCAUCAAAAUUAACGCUUGUGGCAUCAGUUUCUGCCUUUAUUACACUGCUAACCGAGAAUAAAUACGUAGACAAGCCUAACUCCAAAAAUUCCUUUUCCUGUCCACUUAGUGGCGCAGGAGUGGCUGUGUGGUAAGUAGCUUGCUAACCAACCACAUGGUUCCGGGUUCAGUCCCACUGCGUGGCAUCUUGGGCAAGUGUCUUCUGCUAUAGCCCCGGGCCGACCAAAGCCUUGUGAGUGGAUUUGGUAGACGGAAACUGAAAGAAGCCCGUCGUAUAUAUAUAUAUAUAUAUAAGUGUGUGUGUGUUUGUGGUGUGUCUGUGUUUGUCCCCCUAGCAUUGCUUGACAACCGAUGCUGGUGUGUUUACGUCCCCGUCAGCUAGCGGUUCGGCAAAAGAGAACCGAUAGAAUAAGUACUGGGCUUACAAAAAGAAUAAGUCCCGGGGUCGAUUUGCUCGACUAAAGGCGGUGCUCCAGCAUGGCCGCAGUCAAAUGACUGAAACAAGUGAAAGAGAGAGAGAGUUAGCUGACCUUUCCUUUCCAAUGCAGUGACAUAUACGGUAUCUAUAACGACCUGACACUACUCUCCGCGAACAUACCCAAAAGCACUUAUUUCCAGCAACUGCAAAUGUUUAGAUCAAGCAGUAAGAAAAGAACCAUGUCCUUUCCCCGAUUCGCGUAGAAACUUAUGGACUACGGCUCGGAGCAUGCUUAAUUAACAUCGUCAUCAAAACCACUUCAUACUUCAAUGGAACACUAAAUUUUAGGCUAUGCUCAACUAAACAUUUUCAGAUAUUAAGACGGCCAGGAAUAUUAUUUAACUGCAAAUGAGAAACAGCCUGCAGCUGUUACCACUGCAGGAAUUUAUUUUGUAGAGAGACAUUCCAAAAUUUUAUAAUUAUUAAAUUACAGAAGCUUGAAAUUAAAAAUAAAAUCUUAACGAUUAGAUAAAUUGAAUGUUAUUAUUAAUGUUAUGGGAGGCUUCCUCUUAUGUAAAUAUAUUGACCAGUGAUUUUAUCUGGACUACCGUAUGUGCGAAUUAAUACAUGGAAGUCAAAUUUAUUGCUUUCAGAUAGCUUAAAACGCGUGCAUUCGGUAAAGGACUGUUAGUUUCGUUUCAGAAGAAAUUUAAAUAUAUUUCGUUUGGGAAUGUUUUUUUUUUCGUUGAAAUAUCUCGCAACAGAAUUUUAAGAAUUGUCUAUCUUGUUUCAAAACUAUUCAAGAAUCUUAUUUUACAUGUUUUCACUUUAACAUUUUACUAUUAAGUGGUCCCACAUGCAUCAAUACACAUACGAAAAAUAUAUCGACACUCAUGCACAUUUUAAGAACGAUCUUCACAAGCAGCAGGGGUUCACGAAAAUCGGUUCCAUUCUUCUGGCAGUCACAUUGCUUAAACGUGUGUAUGUAUGUAUGGUGUAUGUAUGUAUGUAUAUAUGUAUGUGCGUAUAUUUGUAUGUUUGUAUGUAUGUAUGUAGACAUGCAUGCUUAUAUAUAUAUAUCCUUUUCUCCCUUUUCUCUUAUUUUCCUCAUCUGGCGUCUGUCUGUCCGUCUGUCUAUCUGUCUGUCUGCCAAUCUAUCUGUCCCUCGGCCAGUCUGUCUGUAUUCUCUCUCUGUGUGAGUUUUAUAUAUAUAUAUAUAUAUAUAUAUAUAUGUGUGUGUGUGUGUGUGUGUGUGUGUGUGUGUUGUGUAUGUAUACAUAUCUGUGUAUGUAUGUAUGUGUUUAUAUAUAAACACACAUGCAAUGACUUAUAUUUAAAUAUUUUCCCUUUUAUGUAUGUAUAUAUAUAUAUAUAUAUAUAUAUGUAUAUGAUUGUUUGUACGUAUGUACAUUUGUACGUUUGUAUGUAUUUAUGUAGACGUGCAUGCUUAUACAUAUCUUUUCUUCUUCUUCUAUUAAUAAUAAUAAUAAUAAUAAUAAUAAUAAUAAUAAUAAUAAUAAUAAUAAUAAUAAUAAUAAUAAUAAUAACUACAACAAUAAUAAACUACGGCAUACUGAAUUCGGAAAAAUAAGAAAUACACCCAAUGAACCUAGCAAAAAUACCAUUAAAACCCAUUUAAUGAAGAAAAAACUUUUUGAUACCAAGCAACAAAUAAUUAUUCUUGAUUAAUAAGUUUAUGAAAAAUUAAAUAACAAGAAGUAACAUUAAAAAUAAACAACAACAAAAGAAUGUCAAAUAGCUUAAGAACUGUGCUAAACAAAGUAAAAUAAAACAAGACUCAGUAGAACAACAUUAUAAACCAACCAAUGAAAAAAAACACAUUAAACCCUUAAUAAAAAUAACAUAACAUAAAGAACCUCCAGAGAAUCAACCAAUAUAAACGAUAGACACAAACAAAGCGAGAGGCCCAAAACUAUAGAUACAAAAGAAAAAAAAACAUCACCAGCAAUAGCCGUUCUCACCUGGUGAUCGCUGUAACGUAAAAACUUAAGACUCAAAAAAUGCAAUUCGUCUGCCAGAUUCACUUUCAUAACAUUGCUCUUCCCAAGGCUAUAUUAGAAGAUACCAGCCAUAGGUGCCGUUUACUCAAUGAAAUUGAACUCAAAGCUACUUGGUUACGAAACGAAUUUCUUAACCACACAUCCAUAACUUUUUACAUUGUAACACUUUAUCUAAAACUAAAGUACUUAUGGUACCAAAUAUAUCAAUUAAACUGUGAAUUAUUUUUAUAUGUAGUAUAAUAAAAAACGGUCCUUGUGUGACAAUCUCUUGUCCUCUGCUCUCUGUAUAUGCAAAACAUGCUACAUGAAGACGGUUGCAGAUUACGCCAGACGAAAUUAACGUGAAACAAUGAAGAUAAUAAUCGGAUUAAUAUGUGUUGUCGCCUUUUCCAUCUCGUAGGUCGUUAUCUGCUUGAGGCUUAAAUGUGUUUAGUAUUAUGCCAUAAAAGGGGUCAAGUCGUUGUACGUCGACUCUUUUCAUUUUAUUUAAAGCACACAAACAUACACGUGCACGCUCACACGAAUUCACGUAUAGUUAUGCAUGCCAGCAUUCAUACAAAAGAACUGUUAUAUAUAUAUAUAUAUAUAUAUAUAUAUAUAUAUAUAUAUAUAUAUAUAUAUAUAUAUAUAUAUAUAUAUAUAUAUAUAUAUAUUUAUAUAUACAUAUAUGUAUGUAUGUACGUGUGUAUAUAUAGACAUAUAUGUGGUUAUAUAUAUACAUAUAUAUACACAUACAUUUGCAUAUAUAUAUAUAAAUACACACACACACACACACACACACAUAUAUAUAUUUAUAUAGGCGCAGGCGUGGUUGUGUGAGAAGAAUCUUGCUUCCCAAGCACAAGUUUCGAGAUUCGGUCCUACUGCGUGACACCUUGGGCAAAUAUCUUCUACUAUAGUCUCAGGCCGGCCAAAUCCUUGUGAGUGGAUUUUAUAGGUGGAAACUGAAAGAAGCUCGUCGUAUAUAUGUGUGUGUGGGUGUGUUUAUGUGCGUAUGUCUGUGUUUUUACCCUCCCCGCGCCAUUAGCUCUCGACAACCGGAGUGUAUAAAGUUUAAAGAAAAGUACUGCGGUCAUUCAACUAAGAAUUCUUCGAGGUGAAUUCUUGACCCAGCAUAACCGGGUCAUUUAUUUAGUUUUUCUUGACUUUAUCCCUCCUCUUUCUCUAGGCUACCCCUAACGUUAUGUCCUAUAACGUUUUUUUUUUAAACAAUAUUAAUAGCGUUCAGUUAAUUACAAUACAUAUCCAUCAUUUUCUGUUAAAAUGUCUUAUUGGCGAGUUUCAUUUCUUCACUUCCCUGAAGAGAAGAUUACAUUGUUUUACACCAUUUUAUUCCUUUGGAAUAAUAUCAGUGAUAUCUUCGAAACAUGUGUCGGAAGUAAAAGAAUUUGAAUAACACCUGCGUUAAACUCCAUUUAUUUAUUUAUUCAUAUAUAUUAUAUAAAAAUUUCACGUAAACCUAAAGUUUCUAACUUUAAAAACAAGGAGUCACAACCUUUUUACUUGUGUGAUUGUUUGCUACCCUGGUAACUAUUUAUCUAUUUUUUCCUUGUUAAUUGUUAACAAGGGAAAGAUACACACAUUUAUUUAUAUAUAUCUAUAUCUAUCUAUCUAUCUAUCUAUCUAUCUAUCUAUCUAUCUAUCUAUCUAUCUAUCUAUCUAUCUAUCUAUCUAUAUCUAUAUAUAGCGAUUUUUUCCUCUGUCUUCCCUUCUCUGGAUCUUUCCUUCUCCUAUGUUUCCGACGAAGAGCUCCGCUCGAAACGUUAAACCCUCCUUCUUUCCUUCUUUCCUGAGAGUCCAAUAAUUCUAUAUUUGCUCCACGUCCUCGCGUCGUUGUGUUUUUUUGUGCUUUCUUGUUUGGAUUAACUUUAUAUAUAUAUAUAUAUAUAUAUAUAUAUAUAUAUAUAUGUAUAUACAGAGAGAGAGAGAGAGAGGAAAACACUUUAAUGCAAACGUGUGAAAUCAGCAAAAGCAAUGACUAUCCCUCACUACUACUACUACUACUACUACUACUACUACUACUACUAUAGAGAUAUACGGAGAACAGCAGAUAUUUCUAGAAAAGGUACUUUAACAGCUCCAAAACAAAAACAAAACAAUGUUACAGUUAGUUAUUUUUUCGCUAUAAGUACAAACCAGGGGUAAUAAGUACAAAAGCUGAAUCAAUUGUAAUGAAGGGAGGAUUAAGUCUAUUUAAGACCUCAUCAGACCACCCGAGUACACUGCCUCAGCAUUCACAUUCCUACACGUAAACCUAUUAACCCACUUCCUUUGUUAAUUAUUCUUUUAAUAAUGGCUUAAUUGAAGGCGGCGAGCUGGCAGAAGCGUUAGCACGCCAGGCGAAAUGCUUAGCGAUAUUUCGUCUGUCUUUAUGUUCUGAGUUCAAAUUCCGCCGAGGUCGACUUUGCCUUUCAUCCUUUCGGGGUCGAUUAAAAAAGUACCAAUUACGCACUGGGGUCGAUAUAAUCGACUUAAUCCGUUUGUGUGUCCUUGUUUGUCCCCUCUGUGUUUAGCUCCUUGUUGGUAGUAAAGAAAUAGGUACUUCGACUGUCUUUACGUUCUGAGUUCAAAUUCCGCCAAGGUCAACUUUGCCUUUCAUCCUUUCGGGGUCGAUUAAAAAAGUACCAAUUACGCACUGGGGUCGAUAUAAUCGACUUAAUUCGUUUGUCUGUCCUUGUUUGUCCCCUCUGUGUUUAGCCCCUUGUGGGUAGUAAAAAAUAGGUAUUUCGUCUGCCGCUACGUUCUGAGUUCAAAUUCCGCCGAGGUCGACGAUGCUUUUCAUCUUUUCUGGGUCGAUAAAUUAAGUACCACUUGCGUACUGGGGCCGAUCUAAUCGACUGGCCCCGCCACUACCCCCAAAUUUUGGGCCUUGUGUCUAGAGUAGAAAAGAACAAUGUUUUAAUAGAAUACUAGUUAUUUGUGUGUGUGUUUAUGUGUACGUGUGCCUGUUUUACCACACGGCUAUGUGGUAAGAGGUUCGCUUCCCCAACCAAAUGGUUUCACGUUCAGCUCCACUGCAUGCUUCGUGACUUCCUUUACAAGCCUGGGCCCACCAGAGACUUGUGGGUGUAUUGUGUAGAAUCUCCACUGUAGACAGAAACUAUGAAAAGCCCGUCGCAUGCAUGCAUCCAUCCUUCCUUCCUUCCUUACAUCCAUCCAUCCAUCCAUCCAUCUAUCUUUUUCUCUCUCCCUCUCUCUCUCUAUAUAUAUAUACAUAUCAUUUAACGUACACAGUAUAACGGUAAGUGCCACCAAUAGUUUCUUGCCGUGAAGACACGUGGCACGGCAGGUUUUCAUAAUUUUUUGUAUCCCCAAGAAAUCUUCAGGCGAUGAGCACAUGGUCUAUUCUAGUUGAAAAUCAGGAUGCUGGUACAUGGGUUGGGGGACACAAGUCACCAGCCAUAAUCGCUCUAUCUUUUCUAUAAACAUUGCGUAUCCAGGACAACCUCAUCCAAUGAGUCGUAUAUUUUUCAAGGCAGAGAUGUACAUCUUUUUGAGAGAUAUUGCAGUGAGAUUUUUUUAGUUAUAGAAUUUUAAGUCAACCCUUCUAGCACGCGUUAUUUGGGGACAGGAAUGCCAAAGAAAAGACCCCAACGGUGUUUCCCUAUUCCUGGUGGAGUAGGGAAACACCGCCAAAUGGUGGGUGCAGCGACGCGCUGUUGCAGCGUAUGCUCCCAUGCUAUUGCUACUCAUCAAUUCUAUAGUGCUACCUCUGCUUAAUAACUAGCUGCAGAUACGCGUUUACAGCAUGUUGGAAUUGCUUAGUGAAGGUCAGUGGAACGGCUCUGUGAAGGUCAAGAGCCGAGGCCAACGAAAGGUGUUUCCUCUGAGAUCUCUCUCUAUAUAAACGGCAGUUUGUCUGUGCGUUUUCUGUGUGUCUGUUUUCUCGUACCCUCACUCUGACCACGGCUUUCAACCGAUUCUGAUAAAACUUGACACACACAUAGCCCAAUGUCAUAAUUCAAAACUAACGCAGCGAAAAUUUUGAAAAGUUCCCCCAGUUCUGAAAAAAAUAGAUAAAUUCGACAUGGGGUCGAGAAUCAGAAACCCAAACCACAGACCGUCUAGGGGACGCAACUCCACCUUUUUUAACUCUCAAAAAAAUUUACCAUCAUUUUUUUCCAUUUUUUUGCUAUUUUUUGGCUAUAACUCUCUAAAAAUGCUUUAUAGUUAUUUCCCUUACAAACCUGAGCAACGCCAGGCGAUACUGCUAGUUUGUAAUAAAAGAAUACAAAGUCGCAGUGAGCAACCAUUAAACAUUGGCACCAGCCCCCCCCCCCCCCCAUCGAUUCCUUCUUUAAGCAGCUCAAAUUCGUAUGUUCGUUGCACUGACUUACUUGCACACUCGCGCACAUAUACAUACUGACACAUACGCGUGCAUACACAAACACACACACACUCACACACACAAACGCAUAUACGCACAUACAGACAUACGCACACACACACGUACGUACACACACACACGCACACUCACAGAUAUGAAUAGAUUUAUGGACUCAUACUUUACAUACAUAUACAUAUCUAUGCAACCAUUCACUUGUCCUCCUACAUACAGAUACACAUACACAUACACACACGCUUGCACAAACACUAUAUGCGUACAUAAACACAAACACACAUACAUGCAUACAUACAUCUAUAUAUAUGUAUACAUAUAUAUCUCUAUAUAUCUCUCUCUAUAUAUAUAAAUACAUAAAUAAAUGCAUAUAUAUACAUAUAUAUGUGCAUUUAUAUAUGUAUAUGUAUAUAUAUAUAUAUAUAUAUAUAUAUAUACACAUACAGACAUACACACACAUAUAUAAAUACAUGNNNNNNNNNNNNNNNNNNNNNNNNNNNNNNNNNNNNNNNNNNNNNNNNNNNNNNNNNNNNNNNNNNNNNNNNNNNNNNNNNNNNNNNNNNNNNNNNNNNNUUAUCUUGAGUGGGGCUGCCUUAUCUCUCGGCUCUCGGUCAAUGUACAGACGCUUGACACAAAUGAUAGCGUUCAGCUUCUGUUCUGUGUACUCGUACCUCCAGCAAAAUGUUCCGAAUGUGUUAUAAUUGUUGAGUUUCCUGUGAACAAAGCUACAAAUGUUUUUUUUUUUUUAUGACCCGAUGGUUAUUCAUUUAUCAUAAAAUAAUGAACAACUUAUGAAGCCUCUACAGCAGCAUUGAGAACAACACCAACAACAAUAACAACAACUAUUAUGAUUAUUUCUAAUUUAGGCACAAGGCAAGCAAAUAUGAGAGGAGGAGAUAAGUUGAUAGAUGGGUGCCGGCUGCGAAAUUUUGUUUCCCACGAGAGUUCCGGAUCCCAGUUGUGAAUUCAUUCGCAUACAAUCAAUCAGAGCUCAACUAUCAAACUAAUUAAUGAGCGCACAACAAGUGAUGGGCGAUAAGAUAAGGUCCCUUGGGUAAGGAAUGACCAAACUUCUUUUCUCUUUUAAUAAUGCUUGUUGUUCUUGUUCUUGUUUCAACCAUGGCUGCUUCUGCGUAGUUAUUUGUGUUGUUGUUUACUUUGUAAAAUUCUAAGGGGAGAGGGUUGCUAGCACAUCACCCUAUCCCUACAUUUUCCCAUCCACAUCUUUACCAUACGGGGCCCUAACAAAAUCCGAUAAUAGGUAUAGAUGCAAAUCUAUCUAAUUACUUGUCUCUUUCUAAAAUCAGGCAUAACUCGGCGAUCGGUUGACUUAUAGCACCGUUCUUUGUCUUGAGUUUACUUGGUAGAGUGUGUUUGUUAACUUAACAAGAAGGUGAAGAUGAGUUCUGAUUGGCUGUAUGCAAAUGAGUUCAUUACUGGGGUCUGAAAAAGAAUGUCGCGUCCCGGUUCUUGACUGGUAGAGUUUUUAUCGACCCCGGAAAGAUGAAAGGCAAAGUUGCCUUCAGCAAGAUUUUAACUGAGAGCUUAAAGAGCUGGGCGAUGUACAGAAAGGCAUUUUUCCCGACGCCCAAACGACACUACUUGACUAGCGAAGGUCUGUGAGCGCCUGACGCGUAGAGUAGCGUCAGGCACCCUGCCUCGUUCUACACCUGAUCCAAGGUUGCACCUCAAUGAAAUAGACGAGCUGUGGAGAGCCUGACAAAUGGCGACCACAUCUCAUCAUGAAGGAAAAGCUAGAGAUAUCGCAGCCUUAGUGUAUGUCUGCUCAUCACAGUUCUGUUCAGAGCAUGUUUGCACAUCAUCAACCAUAAUAUACCCAUGCCUUCACUCAACGAGUGUUGACAAAAAAUGGAGCCCCUGGUCAGUCGAAUGGAUCCCUUCUACAGAAAUUGAAAGAGCAGGCACUCCGGCCCGGUGAGACAUGUACUGGGGAAAGGCAUGAAGGUUAGGCGGUAAUGUAUGACGGUCAAAUGUGAGCAUUCGCUACCUCUGACCGAGUUUUCAGAGACAGCGUUCUCUCGGCCAGCUUUAGUUGAUAUCUGCCGAGAGGCUUUCAAACAAGUCUGGGAUAUAAAAGUAAAGCUCGUAGGGGAAAACCAGGCGAUUUAGCCCUGAGCCGCUAACUAUUGCUUCCUGUGUAUCCGCAGCUGUUAUCAGCUUUUCGCAACACUCUGCCUCUCCUGCUAAGAUUCACGGCUGGUAAUGAAAUCCAUCCUGCCCGCCUUUAGUUCUGGCCCGCCUUUUGUUCUGGCUCGCCUUUCGUCCCGAAUAAUCAACCGAAGUGCUGCUAAAGAACCAUUCACAGCUACUUAGGACUAAAUAACAUGCGUCUAUUGUAAUUCACCAAAACCAAAUUUUAGCUUCGUGACCCCGUUGCGCUUCUUUAAUUCAGGCUCAUAAAACAGUUUUCGUCUAAUCGUGUCUUAGAGAACAGACCUUAGCUUUGGCAACAGGUGUUUGGUAUCAGGAAAAUGCAGUCAACGGAAGGAGAACAUUCGAAUUCUACACUUGGUUAGCGCCGGGUAUGUGCAACCAUGUCUUGGGAACGACUCUGGGUGGUACGAGAACAGUCUGAAAAAUUUCUUCUAGAGAGCUUUCCGGUGUGGGAUUAUAAGCAAGUUUCAAAAGUUCUGACUAGAGAAGGGAAUUACCUUUUCAAAACAAUUUCUACAAGGACAGAAGAUCAGCUGUUGAACAUAUUCGAGAUACUCGAAGGGCAAUAAAGCUCUCCAGCAAGCACUCAUUCAAAGCUGGCUUGGGUGCUUAUAUCGAAAGACUGCUGCCAUCUGUAGGAGGGAUCUAGCUAUCGGACGAGGCUAUAGGGAGAACUAACUGACAUAAGGCUAUAGUGAAAGAAGUUGCUUGGAGGACAAGUUACAAAAGUUUGAGGACGGAAAUCUUCCUCAAAUCAUCUUCAUAUAAUGAUUGGAGAGCAACGUUGGGAUAGAGAAAGACCUGUUGUCUUCCAGUAUCGUUUACACUGAGUGAAAGUGUCCAGAUUGACGAGCUUGAGUGAAUCUAUUGUGAUGAUCUACUUCUCAAUCGGAGAACAGAAACCGAGAGAGGGGACUUGUGAUAUCUUCAAUAUCAGGAUUAUUCCAGUGUGGUGUUUCUCGGUAGUUCUCAAGUGUUUGCCUUAUCCUGAACUCAUUUUAAUCCUUAAAAUGUUAUAUACCAUAUAUACUUUAACUUACAUUCUGUUUUCUAUCCAAUUUACUAUUCCAUUUCAUUGCAAAUCUACACAUUUUUAUUUCUUACCUGGAGCUUGAACAAAGAUUGUUGUAUUUACGGCGAGACACAGAUGAAGUGGAAUGCAUAACUGCGUAAUGUUUCUACCAGUGUUAUGUAAUUAUUAUUAUUAUUAUUAUUGUCUAUUAUUUCGUCAUACUUCAUAUUCUAGCCCAUCUCUGGCUUGGUGAACCACAUCAUGCCAUACAAAAUACCGGAGUAGAUUGUGGAUUUUACUACUGAGUCAGAUCUGGGUUACGUGUCGCACUUUAAUGUAGACCCUUCUAUAAAUAAAUAUAUACAUGUAUAUAUUAUUAUUAUUAUUAUUAUUAUCAUAAAAUCCACAAAAAGCUUUGUGAAAUAGAGUUACCUUGCGUUUCAUGGCCGAAAUAUUGAUUUAAUUCGUCAUAUAUCAAACUGUUAAAAACAAACGAUUUUUGUGUUUUUUGUUAUAUCUCGACUCUCUUAACUGAUGAUCGACUGUUAAACAACUUAUUGAAAAUCUUAUCACACAGUGUAUAUAUAUAUGUAACCGUUAAUCCCAACACAUUUUUCUAUUUCCGUUGUUUUCCUCUCUCAACUCUUUCUGUCGAAGAGCGUUGGCUCGAAACGUCAAAGACUUUUCCAUUCUCGCUGAGCGUUAAAUUAACACACCUGUUUGUUGUUUCUUUACCUGUCGUCGUUUUGUUUUCUGUAAAUUUGAUACACACUCACAUACGCACGCACACACACACACACACACACACACACACACACACACACACACACACACACACACACACACACACAUUAACAGUUAUCGCCAAGCUAACAUGGCAGUCCAGGAAAAUAGGACGAAUGCUACCGUGGAUCAGCUCCAAGAGGCCAUCGCCUCUAGCUAUCUAUGUGACACACAAACCUGUGUCUAUUAUAACCUUCGAACAGGGGCAGUCAGCAGCUUCCUCUUGCUGGCUUGACAUUCAGAGACUAGUUUCGGGGUAUUUGUCCCUUAUCAAUAUGGAGUAGCCGCGUGUGUACCGUUGGCGAAUUUUUCCUCUGUCUUCCCUUCUCUGGAUCUUUCCUUCUCCUAUGUUUUCGACGAAGAGCUCCGCUCGAAACGUUAAACCCACUUCUUUCCUGAGCGUCCAAUAAUACUAUAUUUGUUCCACGUCCUCGCGUUGUUGUGUUUUCUCUUUGUGUUUUCAUGUUUGGAUUAACUAUAUAUAUAUAUAUUUUCCUCUGUCUUCUCUUCUCGGGAUCUUUCCUUCCCCUAUGUUUCCGACGAAGAGCUCUGCUCGAAACGUUAAACCCUCCUUCUUCCCUUCUUUCCUGAGCGUCCAAUAAUACUAUAUUUGUUCCACGUCCUCGCGUUGUUGUGUUUUCUCUUUGUGUUUUCAUGUUUGGAUUAACUAUAUAUAUAUAUAUAUUUUCCUCUGUCUUCCCUUCUCGGGAUCUUUCCUUCCCCUAUGUUUCCGACGAAGAGCUCUGCUCGAAACGUUAAACCCUCCUUCUUCCCUUCUUUCCUGAGCGUCCAAUAAUACUUUAUUUGUUCCACGUCCUUGCGUUGUUGUGUUUUUUUGUUUUUGUUUUCUGGUUUGGAUUAACUAUAUAUAUAUAUAUAUAUAUAUAUAUAUUAUACAUACACACAUACAUACUUACAUACAUAUAUAUAUAUAUACAUAUAUAUACACAUACAUAUAAUGCCAUAAUGAUAUCCGUGGGGCAGCUGAUGAUGAAGGAAUGUUGGAUUGUUGGAAUGCCUUUUUUUUUGUAUAUGUGGAAUAGUAUUAGAACACAUCCUUUUGAUAUAUAUAGAUAGACAUGUAUAUAUAUAUAUAAAUAUUUAAAAUAUGUGUGUAUUUGUGUGUGUGUGAGUGUGCGUAUGUGAGUGUGUGUUUAUGUGUGUGUGUGUGUGUGAUCAGAUCGAACCCGUCGACAUGUAUAGUUAUUAGAAUUUAGUUCACUCAGAUUUGUAAUGUUUACUACAGCUUUAAACUACGUAUGUGUGUACACGCACGUGUUUGUAUUUGUUUAUAACGCCAUGUGUGUGUGUGUGUGUGUGUGUGUGUGUGUGUGUGUGUGUGUGUGUGUUAGGAGUGUGUGUGUGUGUGUGUGUGUGUGUUAGGAGUGUGUGUGUGUGUGUGUGUGUUAGGAGUGUGUGUGUGUGUGUGUGUGUGUGUGUGUGUGUGUGUGUGUGUGUGUGUGUGUGUGUGUGUGUGUGUGUGUGUGUGUGUGUGUGUGUGUGUGUGUGUGUGUGUGUGUGUGUGUGUGUGUGUGUGUGUGUUGUGUGUGUGUGUGUGUGUGUUAGGAGUGUAUUAUCUUAUUCGAAAUGUAUGCCUAUGUGUCAUGUGACCGCCAAGAUGAUAUUUCGUUUUGUUUUUUUGUUUUCUCUUUCCUUCUUUACUAUUUUUUUUUUAUUCUUUUUCGUUGGCGCACAGACUUGGUGGACGGAAUAAAGAGGAAGAAGAAGAAGAAAGAACAGACCCAUCACUGUUUAUGAUAAACAUUUCUGGACAACCGAAGCAAUAUAUAACCCUGACCCCUAUCCUACUUCAACUUCACUUUAAACUCUUCUACAUUUAUCCCUUAUUACUUCCAUACUUUUUUUUACCUCUGUUUACACACAUAUAAACACAAACACUUAUACACAUCCGC
rnacentral:lncRNA from 1 species